UUGACAAAGUCAGCGGUACCGUGUCACAGUGGCCCAGUAUCCAUCGUAAUAUUCUUUAAAAAAAUAUAUGUAGCUUAUUUUAUAUAUAUAUAUAUAUAUAUGCGAUAUUUGAUUGCUUUAAUUUAAAAAAUCAGACGCCCUUAUAGUGAAAACCGCUUCAUUUGUAAAUAUUAUCCAUUUCAGCUAAUUUUAUAUCAACUAUUUGACGAAUUAAUAGGAGGCCACGGCAAUGACACGAGGGGAUCAUCAACACUAGUCAUUAAUUCAUCUAAACAAGAGUUACACCUCUGCUAAUACCAAUUCAAGCAGCAGCAGUAGAAAAAGAAAUAGAUGCAUUAUCAAAGGACGGUAAAGAUAAAAGCCAAAUUGAAUCAUCAUUGUAUAAAUCAAGCACUUAGUUCUUAAAGAGCAGUGGAAUCAAAUGGACGCAUUAUAGCUUGGAAAUCCUCAAAAUCGCGUCCAAAUUCACCCUUUUAUGUCCAUCGAACAAAAUACACUAAGUUGUGAUGAUAAUUUCAACUGCUACAAAAAUUAUCUUGACUGGUUAGAAGAUCAAAUGAAAAUCGAACUACAGUUGGGGUCAAAAAAUGUAUUGCCCUUUUCACCAAACUUCAUACAUGCAACGGAAAUCAUUGAAGCUUGAGUGGGUCUUCAGUGCUUCGAUGUUGCUCGCACCGCGCUCUCCUGUAGACCUAAGUCCACAGCCCUGAAUAUGGAACGUGCAAGUGUUCCGAAACGUUGGCCAACUAGUCAAGACAUCCAAGUGGGACUGCUUGCAUGUAUUGAUUCUACUUUUAUAAAUGUGACGUUUAUCGGUUUGAUAAAGCUUGUAUAAUUGGACAUUAUCGGUGACGUCAAGUUGAUUAGGGGAAAACGAAUGGCCUUCUACUAGAAACACGUUUGUUUUUUCUGCAUACCUUAUCCAAUUCAUUAUACGGGGUGAUUCAUUUGGUCAAUACACUCAUUUUCUCUUAAAAAUCAAAAAAAUUGCAAUUUUGUAGUUUUACUUUUUAAAACAAUAUUAUUUUUGUAAUUUUACAAUAUUAGACAAUAUUCAAAUUCAAAUCAUUAUGCCUUUAUUAUUUAUAUCAUACAAUUUAAAAAGAAUACACAGUGUACGUUGGUAUUAAUAUUUAAUACCGGGUGAUUGGUUAACUAUGGGCCAGUCAAUAACUUAGAAGCUAUUGGACUUUUUUUAAUUUUUUUUUUUAUAAGCUUAUAAUUAUUAGUUGGGACAAAUUUAAUAUAUUUUUUUUAAUUAAAACUCCGUCCCUUAUAUAUUAAAAUCUUAUAAACUUGAGUUUUUUUUAAAUAGUAACGCACAUAUUUGAUUAACUUUUUAAAUUAAAAAUAAUUUGCUGAAUAUUUUGACUGGUCGAUAGCCAGUUUUGGAUAAGAACGAAAAAAAGGAAAACCUGCAUUACUUGUACCAAAUAAUAAAAACAACACUUUCCGUAGAAAUUUCUGAAUUUAAAAUCGAAGAUCCUAUAGAAAUAAUUAAAUUUCCUGGACUUUUUGCAAUAUUUUUGUUGAAAUUAACGAAGUAAAACAUA